UACAGAGGUGGCAAGCGUUGUUCGGAAUUACUGGGCGUAAAGGGCGCGUAGGCGGCCUUCUAAGUCAGACGUGAAAUCCCCCGGCUUAACCUGGGAACUGCGUCUGAUACUGGGAGGCUCGAGUAUGGGAGAGGGAUGUAGAAUUCCAGGUGUAGCGGUGAAAUGCGUAGAUAUCUGGAGGAACACCGGUGGCGAAGGCGGUUCUCUGGGCCUUACCUGACGCUGAGGAGCGAAAGCGUGGGGAGCGAACAGG
rnacentral:rRNA from 1 species